UACAGAGGGGGCAAGCGUUAUUCGGAAUUAUUGGGCGUAAAGGGCGCGUAGGCGGCUUUUCAAGUGACGGGUGAAAGCCCUCGGCUUAACCGAGGAACUGCCUGUCAGACUGGAAGGCUUGAGACCGGGAGAGGUGAGUGGAAUUCCCAGUGUAGCGGUGAAAUGCGUAGAUAUUGGGAGGAACACCAGUGGCGAAGGCGGCUCACUGGACCGGAACUGACGCUGAGGCGCGAAAGCGUGGGGAGCAAACAGGG
rnacentral:rRNA from 1 species